GUUGACCUCGGAUCAGGUAGGGAUACCCGCUGAACUUAAGCAUAUCAAUAAGCGGAGGAAAAGAAACCAACCGGGAUUGCCUCAGUAACGGCGAGUGAAGCGGCAAAAGCUCAAAUUUGAAAUCUGGCUCCUUCGGGGUCCGAGUUGUAAUUUGCAGAGGAUGCUUCGGUUGCGGCCCCCAUCUAAGUACCCUGGAACGGGUCGUCAUAGAGGGUGAGAAUCCCGUAUGGGAUGGGGUGUCCGCGUCCGUGUGAAGCUCCUUCGACGAGUCGAGUUGUUUGGGAAUGCAGCUCUAAAUGGGUGGUAAAUUUCAUCUAAAGCUAAAUACUGGCCGGAGACCGAUAGCGCACAAGUAGAGUGAUCGAAAGAUGAAAAGCACUUUGAAAAGAGAGUUAAACAGCACGUGAAAUUGUUGAAAGGGAAGCGCUUGCGAUCAGACUCGCCUACGGGGUUCAGCCGGCUUUCGGGCCGGUGUACUUCCCCGUGGGCGGGCCAGCGUCGGUUUGGGCGGCCGGUCAAAGGCCCCUGGAAUGUAGCGCCUCUCGGGGCGCCUUAUAGCCAGGGGUGCAAUGCGGCCUGCCUGGACCGAGGAACGCGCUUCGGCACGGACGCUGGCAUAAUGGUCGUAAGCGACC
rnacentral:rRNA from 2 species